rnacentral:sRNA from 1 species
GUUUUGUUCUGCUUCU